CACCAGGCCAGAUUUGUCUUGCGAUGUAAAACUGUUCCUUGUAAAGACCUGUAUGGGAUGGGGGUGGUGGUUGCCCAUGGAAACUCCGGUCUCUCCUGACACGUCUUCGCUUCUCUUCUGUCACUGCAAUUCCCCGGCUGAAGGCAAGACAAGAGCAUGUGAAUGAGAAGUGGCGCUCCUAAAGACCCUGGGCAUUUUGCUGUCUGCAAAACUACACGUUUUGUUUUGCAGUGCGACUAUGCAAAUAAUCUCAUGCUUUAAUCGGAACAGCAUUUCUGCGCAGCUCUGCAAGUUCUGUUGCUAUAAAGAUGGAGUUGAUGAUGUGGAUGUAUUCAAAACACGUUCAAGACAGGCAGAGUUUUAUCCCGGUUUAUCCUGGAUCUAUCCACAUCAGUUAUUCACACAGGCAACAAUGCAAAUCUUUCAGGAAAACAUGGGGGAAACCGAUCAAAAUAAGCUUUUGUGAGUUUUUUGGCAGCCCCCCCCCCCAACUUAAACAGAUGCAUUUGAAAUUCAUGUGAACAACGCGGAUUCGACCCAUAUUCUACCAGGAUUAUUUACGCCACCAGAAUAACCUGAGAGGCUUUGUGUUUCUCUAAUGCAACAUGCGUCCAGGAUAUGCUGUUGCCGCUGGAUGUUGUUUUAUUAAUGUUGAGUGAUCUGUGUUUAUUAAAUAAAUAUUUCCACCAGUGUAUUUCAUCUUGUCAAAAGGUUUUAAUGAUAAAUAUUCAGCAAGUCAAUGUGAAUUCAAGGGAACAAUUACAGAAUGAGCUUGUGUACAGACAUUUAACUUUACACACUGAAACUCCCUCCCUGCUUCCUUAAUGCUGUCCUGAGCCAGAAAAUUGGUUCCCUGUUUAAAAGACUGCUACUCCACUACAGUUUGUUGUUUUUACUAGAUUUACUAGAUUGCUUGGGGGUACUCUAAACCACUGGGAUUUGUAUCACUCUCAACCUCUAUGGGUGAGUGCUGAAAGAAAUAAGUGCUUUUGCAGUUUGAAUGGGAGUAGAUAGGAGGAAAGUCAGAGUUUAAAUCUUGCCGGGCAAAAUCCUUGAUAUAAUUCUUACUAACAAAAGCAAAGUGGUAUCCUCUAGAUAGGUCCAGUGUAGUGUUUUAAGCGGUGGACUUUGACUCUGGAGCCAGUGUUCGAAUCCCACUCAGCCAUGGAAGCCCACUGGGUCAUCUGGGGCAAGUCACACUCUCUCAGCCUCAGAGGAAGACAAUGGCAAACUCCCUCUGAACAAAUCUUGCCAAGGAAACCCUGUGAUAGGCUUGUCUUGGGGGUCACCAUAAGUCAGAAAUGACCUGAAGGCACACAACAACAACAGCCCUGAUUUCCCUUUGAUGAACCGAUACAGUGACAAAUAAAUUGUUCCUUCCAAUUGGCAGUUACAGGUAGUUUUUCUCCUUCUUUGCAGAAUGAAGACAAAACUUUGAAAUGUUGUAUGAUGAAAUACAAUGAAAGGCAAACAAAGGAGAUGUUUGUUUUAUGUACUGUCUAUUAAAGAAACCUAAAAGCUUAA